GGGAGUAUGGCGUAACGGCAGCGCAGCACCCUUUUAAGGUGCCAGGUUCGGGUUCGAGUCCCGGUGCUCCCACCA
rnacentral:tRNA from 1 species